rnacentral:lncRNA from 1 species
CUGCCAUUCUGUUUGUCCAUUUCUUGUGGGGAGACAUUUUGUACUAGGAAGUCUAGUGAAAGAUGUAUUAUAAUAAUAUGUCUUCAUUAUAUAAAACUUGAUUCUCAGGCUGGGGUUGCGGCUCAGUGGUAGGGCGCUUGCUUAGCAUGUGUGAUGCACUGGGUUCAAUCUCAGCAUCACGUUAAAAUAAAUAAAUAAAAUAAUUGGGGCUGGGGUUGUGGCUCAGCGGUAGAGUGUUCGUCUAGCAUACACAGAUUCUAUCUGGGUUCUAUCCUCAGCACCACAUAAAAAACUAAAUGUUUGGAAUAAAGGUAUCAUGUCCAACUGUAAUUAAAAAAAUAACUACUAAUAAAUAAAUAGAUAAAUAAAUAAAUGUAUCGUGUCUGUCUACAACUAAAAAAUAAUUUAAAUCUUGAUUCUCUGAUAAUGUUUAAAUCUGGUGAAAUUUGAGGAUUAAUUUAUUUAAUUACAGCUUCUUCUGCCAUCUAUGGAGAAUCUUUACAUUUGCGUCUUUGAUUAGAUGUUAAGCAUCUCUGAUAAUUUAUUACAAUAGUUGUGAUGAGAAUCUAGUAAAUCCUUUCUAGCAUGGAAAUGUAAAAUGUUGGCAUGGUACUCUGGUACCUAGGAAGUAUUUAAUGAACUUUCAAUUCCCAUUGUUACUAUUGCAGCAGAAUACAACUUAAGGCUUUGGUCAUUCAAGAAUCUAUUUGCUUUGCUGUUAGGUAGUAUAUAAUAGCCUCCUUUUUGGACCUGGAGGUCACAGACAGAAAGAGAAAGUUAGGGCAGAUAGUCAUACCUCCUUGUAAGAGAACCUAAAAGUAGUUUUACUUCUUUCCUGAAGCCCCAAAAUAGACCAGUGGUGGGUAGUAUAGAUAGAGACUUGGAAAAGGCCAACUACAGGAAUUUAAGUCUUUUGACAAACUAAAAGUUUCUGGGUCUUUUCAUUAGGAAAAACUCCUCAGGAGCAAAAUCUAGAGAGGUUCAGAUUGUCCCUAAAGAUGUUUAAGAUGAGUAAUGUAGGUUAAAAAUGGGCCUAGCCACUACUUUCUGAAUAUCUUCUCAAGAUCAAUUACCUAUAGGAUAAAAGGAAAUGGAACUUGUUUUUCCAGCUAUCUUGGAGGUAGAAAAAUCAGGGAGGAAAAAAAUUUCCUUUUCUCCAUCAGAAAGGAGAUUGGAAUGCUCUAGGGGCAACCCAAAGCUGGGGCUGUGGCUCAGCGGUAGAGCACUCAUCUAGCAUAUGCAAGGUGCUUGGUUCAAUCCUUAGCACCACAAAAAAAAAUAAAUAAAUAAAUGUUAAAGAAAAAGAUAACUUAAAAAAAUGAAAAUGAAUUCAAAGGAAGAAUGAGUUCUUAUCUUUGAGGUGAUUUUUAUUUCAUAAGAACCUGUUAUGAGACUAGUUACUUCUUAAUUUUUUUUUUUUAUAAACUAAGAUGGUACAUUUUAGGUAAUAGGCUCUGCCUUAGUAUUUCUUCUUCCAUGAUGUUUGCC